ensembl:lncRNA LINC01665 long intergenic non-protein coding RNA 1665
UGGGCAAUGCGCAUGCGGGAGGCACGAGCCCAUUCUCCCGUGACGGUGACUCCAACGGUUGGCUGAGGACGAUUCCCUGAGCCUUGACAAAGCAGGAGCCCUCCGUGGCAGUGCGUCGGGGUCGAGGCUCCAGCCUGACCAAUCCAGGGGGUCGACAAAACAGAUUCGGGACACCAUGCUACACGCAGGGCCUACCAGGAUGCAGAAACAGCAGACGGAGUCCGGGGAAAGCAGUGCGGCAUCCCAGCCUCAGGCCUGCCCGUACGGUGUUCGGGAGGGGAGGAGACCAAUGUGAAAGGAGAUGGUUAUAUCUCCUCGCGGCUCUUCUCUGAGAAAUGAAGCCAGGAUACGAAACAAUCUUCAAGAAGAAGCUGAAAACCGGAUAUGACAAGGAUGUCCCCAGAACACAGCAGGCAUCCUGAAGCUCUGCCUCCUGAAGCUCCCCCUCCCUCGGUGGAAGUCGGCUCAGGGAGGUCCUGAGGACAGGACUCCUGGGGGUUUGGCUGCAGAAUGAAUUAAUUCACUAGGACUUUAUAUAAUUUUUCAAAUCAUGAAAUUGCACAAUCUUUUGAAUAUGGAAUUGGGAGGCCUUUCAGUUCAUUCAGUAGAAAACUGGAACAUUUUUGAAGGGUGAUCUGCUCGACACCUUUCAAAGAGUACAAAACCUUGUGAAGUAGCAGAUGCAAUGAUUACCAAUGUACCUUAUAAAAUGACUUUCAGAGUUUGAGAUUAAAUUGGCUUUUCUGAAAUAUGUAAGUCUCUGGAAAAACUCAACAUUUCUAAUCUUGCUUUGGAAAGCCUUUAAGUAUGUAAAAAUCAAUUUCUUAUAUCUUCUCUGAAAUAAACAUGGAAUAUCCUAAGGUUUUAUUCAUGUUUCAUGAAUUUCACAGCAUUCAUCAUAUUUUCAAGUUAUUUUUGAUGCUUUGCAUUGUAUUAAAAUCUCUCUUGGAAUGAGAGGCCUGAAAAACAAUCAUAAUAUACUGUUGUUGUCUAACAAUAUAUCAAGUUUUUAAUGACUCUUACAAUGCAAUAUUUUUAUCAUUCUUGUAGUUUAUCCACAUGUAUUUAAUAUUACUAGCAGAAAUUUAGAUUUUAGUAAAUUAAUUCUGAUCUUUGUAAAAUAAAAUGCUUUAGUUUUCAAUCUAUAUCUAUUAAUUCUUUAGUCUAUGAAUCCAUCUAACAAUUAUUAUUGAACAAGUUCUAGGAGAUAAGUACUAUACAGUUGCUAAGAAUUCUGAAAGAUCAUCUUAUACCUAUUAUACAGAAGCAGAGCGAGACAAAUGAACCAAAACUUACAUAACACUGUGACAUGCGUUUCAAGUUUAAACAUCUUAAAAAAUACAUUUCAUAAAACUAAAAUAAAACUUGAUACUUGUUUCUACUACA